UUUUUUAGUUUUAUCAUUCUCUUAUUUUAGAAGUUACAGGGGGGGGGGGGGGACACACAUUUUACCACUUUGGAAGUGUCUCUCGCGCAAACUAUUCAGUUUAGAAAAAAAUGAUAUUAGAAACCUCAAUAUCAUUUUUGAAGACCUAUCCAUAGAUACCCCACACGUAUGGGUUUGAUGAAAAAAAAAAUUUUUGAGGGAUUUAUGACGUAUUAAAAAAAAACUACUUACUAGAUCUCGUUCAAACCAAUUUUCGGUGAAAGUUUGCAUGGUAAUGUACAUCAUAUAUUUUUUUUAGUUUUAUCAUUCUCUUAUUUUAGAAGUUACGGGGGGGGGGGGGGGGGGCACACAUUUUUACCACUUUGGAAGUGUCUCUCGCGCAAACUAUUCAGUUUAGAAAAAAAUUAUAUUAGAAACCUCAAUAUCAUUUUUGAAGACCUAUCCAUAGAUACCCCACACGUAUGGGUUUGAUUUUUGAUUGAUUUUUUUGAGGGAUUUAUGACGUAUUAAAAAAAACUACUUACUAGAUCUCGUUCAAACCAAUUUUCGGUGGAAGUUUGCAUGGUAAUGUACAUCAUAUUUUUUUUUUAUUUUAUCAUUCUCU